GUGGGUCAGGAAGUUCACCGGCUAUAUUGGUUUCUUCUUUGAAAGAAGCAGACUCAGUUACCUUAGUGUCCUUAGCUUCAACCUUAGGCUCCUCCUCAACAGCCUCAGCAGGUUUGUCUUCAACAACAGCAUCAGCAGGCUUCUCGGGAGCAUCCUCCUGUUCACUCUCUUUCUCCACCACCACUUCCUCAGUAGGAGCAGGGGCUGCAGCAGCUUCAGGCUUUUGAGUCUCCUCAGCCAUGGAUGAGAUUGUAAACGAGAAAGAAAAAGAAAUGAAAAUGCAGAG
rnacentral:lncRNA from 1 species